rnacentral:rRNA from 1 species
AAAUUGAAGAGUUUGAUCAUGGCUCAGAUUGAACGCUGGCGGCAGGCCUAACACAUGCAAGUCGAGCGGAAACGAGUUAUCUGAACUUUCGGGGAACGAUAACGGCGUCGAGCGGCGGACGGGUGAGUAAUGCCUAGGAAAUUGCCCUGAUGUGGGGGAUAACCAUUGGAAACGAUGGCUAAUACCGCAUGAUGCCUACGGGCCAAAGAGGGGGACCUUCGGGCCUCUCGCGUCAGGAUAUGCCUAGGUGGGAUUAGCUAGUUGGUGAGGUAA